UACGUAGGGUGCGAGCGUUAAUCGGAAUUACUGGGCGUAAAGCGUGCGCAGGCGGGUAUAUAAGACAGAUGUGAAAUCCCCGGGCUCAACCCGGGACCUGCAUUUGUGACUGUAUAGCUAGAGUGGGGCAGAGGGGGGUGGAAUUUCGCGUGUAGCAGUGAAAUGCGUAGAUAUGCGGAGGAACACCGAUGGCGAAGGCAAUCCCCUGGGCCUGCACUGACGCUCAUGCACGAAAGCGUGGGGAGCAAACAGGAUUAGAGACCCUGGUAGUCCACGCCCUAAACGAGGUCAACUGGUUGUUGGGUCUUCACUGACUCAGUAACGAAGCUAACGCGUGAAGUUGACCGCCUGGGGAGUACUGCCGCAAGGUUG
rnacentral:rRNA from 1 species